GACGAACGCUGGCGGCGUGCUUAACACAUGCAAGUCGAGCGAUGAAGCUCCUUCGGGAGUGGAUUAGCGGCGGACGGGGGAGUAACACGUGGGUAACCUGCCUCAUAGAGGGGAAUAGCCUUUCGAAAGGAAGAUUAAUACCGCAGAAGAUUGUAGCUUCGCAUGAAGCAGCAAUUAAAGGAGUAAUCCGCUAUGAGAUGGACCCGCGUCGCAUUAGCUAGUUGGUGAGGUGACGGCUCACCAAGGCGACGAUGCGUAGCCGACCUGAGAGGGUGAUCGGCCACAUUGGGACUGAGACACGGCCCAGACUCCUACGGGAGGCAGCAGUGGGGAAUAUUGCACAAUGGGGGAAACCCUGAUGCAGCAACGCCGCGUGAGUGAUGACGGUCUUCGGAUUGUAAAGCUCUGUCUUCAGGGACGAUAAUGACGGUACCUGAGGAGGAAGCCACGGCUAACUACGUGCCAGCCGCCGCUGUAA
rnacentral:rRNA from 1 species